rnacentral:rRNA from 1 species
AAGGGCACCACAAGAACGCGUGGAGCAUGUGGCUUAAUUUGACUCAACGCGGGAAAUCUUACCGGGUCCGGACACACUGAGGAUUGACAGAUAUACGCUCAUUGCAGUGCUUCGGCGCCGCAUUUGAGCUGAAAGAUGCUAGUCCUUUCAUGAUUAUGUGAUAGGUGGUGCAUGGCCGUUCUUAGUUCGUGGAGUGAUCUGUCUGCUUAAUUGCGUAUCAAUAAUAGAGACCUAGUAUACGCGCGGAUUUCGUGUGGUAGUGACCCCCUGUUCGCAGGCGUGUGUCGCACACGCGUGCCGCGCACUGGUCUCAGAUAGCAACGAACGUGACCGUAUUCUAUUGUUGCAGUGAAUAUGUGUGCCUUCGGGCAUACGACCCACUGCUUAGUGUAUGUACGUGCUUCGGUGCGCACAAUACACAUUAAACUAUAGAGACCGCUGUUUCUUCUUUAAACCAGAGGAAGGAUACGGCAAUAACAGGUCUGUGAUGCCCUCAGAUGUUCCGGGCUGCACACGUGCUACAAUGAUCAUUGCACUGUGCAUCUAACCCAAUGUGCGUGGACGCCGCAUGUAUGUACUCCUUGUGGGUACACGCAUUGCUGAGCGACCACGCCGAACCUACUUCGGAAGUAAAAUUUCUCUGUGGGUAAUCCAUUAGAAGUAAUGACUCGCAUAGACCAUGGCACACCAAAUGUACGCGCAGGUCUACCCGGCUCGCCUUUGUGUGAGUGCAGUGCGUAGCUUGUUGUUUCGUACGUGCCACUCCGUAUUAAUUCGUACGUGGGGAUAGAUCAUUGUUUAAUUGUUGGUCUCGGUCUUAACUAGGAAUGCCUUGUACGGGUCUCUGGUUCAACAUACCACCCGGAAUACGUCCCUGCCCUUUGUACACACCGCCCGUCGCUCUUACCGAUGGAUUAUGCUAUGAAUCUAUAGGACUGCCAAAGUUGCUUCGGCUGCUUAGUGGAAAUAUAUAUGAAUAGCGUGAUCUAAAGGAAAGAGAAGUCGAACAAGGCA